CAAAGAGUAGUUUAACUUAGGAUGCUGGCUUUGGGAGCCAGCGGUCGGGGUUAGAGUCCCUGCUUUUUGA
rnacentral:tRNA from 1 species